AUUUAACUCGAGGACCUCAGAAUGUUCCGGCCGCUUCCCUUAGAAUCGAUGGCAAAGUGAAACGUGAUGAAACGAAAUGGAGGUCACCACCGGACGUAGGCGAAAGUCAUGCUUCAACGUUGCUGAUUAUGCCAGGAAGGGCAGCAGUUACAUACCCUCAAAGACCAGGCCUGAAAUGCGUCGGUUUAACAGCAAUAAUCAAGGCGGACUCGCUCGACAUCUUGCAAGUCACAGACAAACCGAAGAAACGAAAGACAGACGAUAGCUAAGCUGACCGAUUAAAAAACCCAAAAACAAA